AUACGGAGGCUGCAAGCGUUACUCGGAAUCACUGGGCGUAAAGCGCGCGCAGGCGGGCUGAUAAGUUGGAUGUGAAAGCCUACGGCUCAACCGUAGAACUGCAUCCAAAACUGUCAGUCUAGAGUGUGGGAGAGGAAGAUGGAAUUAGUUGUGUAGGGGUAAAAUCCGUAGAGAUAACUAGGAAUACCAAAAGCGAAGGCAAUCUUCUGGAACACUACUGACGCUGAGGCGCGAAGGCGUGGGGAGCAAACAGGAUUAGAAACCCCUGUAGUCC
rnacentral:rRNA from 1 species